UCCUGGCUCAGAUUGAACGCUGGCGGCAGGCCUAACACAUGCAAGUCGGGCGGUAACACGGGGAGCUUGCUCCCGGGUGACGAGCGGCGGACGGGUGAGUAAUGUCUGGGAAACUGCCUGAUGGAGGGGGAUAACUACUGGAAACGGUAGCUAAUACCGCAUAACGUCGCAAGACCAAAGAGGGGGACCUUCGGGCCUCCUGCCAUCAGAUGUGCCCAGAUGGGAUUAGCUAGUAGGUGGGGUAACGGCUCACCUAGGCGACGAUCCCUAGCUGGUCUGAGAGGAUGACCAGCCACACUGGAACUGAGACACGGUCCAGACUCCUACGGGAGGCAGCAGUGGGGAAUAUUGCACAAUGGGCGCAAGCCUGAUGCAGCCAUGCCGCGUGUAUGAAGAAGGCCUUCGGGUUGUAAAGUACUUUCAGCGGGGAGGAAGGUGUUGUGGUUAAUAACCACAGCAAUUGACGUUACCCGCAGAAGAAGCACCGGCUAACUCCGUGCCAGCAGCCGCGGUAAUACGGAGGGUGCAAGCGUUAAUCGGAAUUACUGGGCGUAAAGCGCACGCAGGCGGUCUGUCAAGUCGGAUGUGAAAUCCCCGGGCUCAACCUGGGAACUGCAUUCGAAACUGGCAGG
rnacentral:rRNA from 1 species